rnacentral:rRNA from 1 species
UACGUAGGGUGCAAGCGUUAAUCGGAAUUACUGGGCGUAAAGCGUGCGCAGGCGGUUAUUCAAGACAGAUGUGAAAUCCCCGGGCUCAACCUGGGAACUGCAUUUGUGACUGGAUGACUAGAGUACGGCAGAGGGGGAUGGAAUUCCGCGUGUAGCAGUGAAAUGCGUAGAUAUGCGGAGGAACACCGAUGGCGAAGGCAAUCCCCUGGGCCUGUACUGACGCUCAUGCACGAAAGUGUGGGGAUCAAACAGG